rnacentral:rRNA from 1 species
GCCCAGCACCGAAUCCUGUAUCGUCUUGAUACUAGGAAAUGUGGUGUUUAGGCCGUGCUUUGUGCCGGUAUGAUUCUCCUCAAGUCCACUUGAUUGUGGCUUCAGGCCCAGAGAGGGUGUAAGGCCCGUGGAGGCGAGUCGUCCGGUGCCCGGCACGUCCUUAGAGUCGGGUUGUUUGGGAAUGCAGCCCAAAGCGGGUGGUAAACUCCAUCCAAGGCUAAAUACUAGCACGAGUCCGAUAGCGAAGAAGUACCGCGAGGGAAAGUUGAAAAGAACUUUGAAGAGAGAGUUCAAGAGUACGUGAAACCGCUGAGAGGCAAACUGGUGGAGCUGAAAUGGUCUUGAGGAAUUCAGCCCUUCCUACUAGAGUUGGCGUCGGUUGUGAGAUCUCACGACUCCGCUGGCGUUCAUCUUCGUGAAGGAUAGGUGCACUUUCCUCUUGAUCGGACCACGACCAGCGACUUGUUUCUUGUCUGACAUAGACGGAAGGUAGCGUUGGCUUCGGCGAACGUGUUAUAGCCGGUUAUUUGGAUGAGCAAGGCGUUGGAUGCAAUGCUAGGCGCUUGCCCUUUUGGGCUCGUACGUUGUCACUUUCAGGUGUGUCGCCGGCUUCACUGCCUUUGGCAGGGGUGUUGGAGACGCGUCGGUUAGCGGCGGCCUCUGCGAUUGGCGUCGAAAGUCUGUGGUUAUGAAGUAGGCAGUCCACCUGACCCGUCUUGAAACACGGACCAAGGAGUCUAACAUGUGCGCGAGUCAUUGGGCUCUACGAAACCUAAAGGCGCAGUGAAAGUAAAGAUCCAUUUUGAUGGAUUGAGGUGGGAUCCUGAGUCACGUGCUCGGGCGCACUACCGGCCCGUUCGACAUGUAUUCAUGCGGGCGGAGCAAGAGCGUACAUCGUUGGGACCCGAAAGAUGGUGAAUCUAUGCUUGCGCCAGGUCGAAGCCCAGAG